rnacentral:rRNA from 1 species
UACGUAGGGUGCGAGCGUUGUCCGGAAUUACUGGGCGUAAAGAGCUCGUAGGUGGUUUGUCACGUCGUCUGUGAAAUUCCGGGGCUUAACCUCGGGCGUGCAGGCGAUACGGGCAAUACUUGAGUGCUGUAGGGGAGACUGGAAUUCCUGGUGUAGCGGUGAAAUGCGCAGAUAUCAGGAGGAACACCAAUGGCGAAGGCAGGUCUCUUGGCAGUUACUGACGCUGAGGAGCGAAAGCAUGGGUAGCGAACAGGAUUAGA